GUCUACGGUCGUACCACCCUGAACACAACCGAUCUCAUCUGAUUUCAGAAGCUAAGCAGGGUCGACCUGGUUAGUACUUGGAUGGGAAAUAAAGCACCCAGACC
rnacentral:rRNA from 1 species